rnacentral:rRNA from 1 species
CCUACGGGAGGCAGCAGUGAGGAAUAUUGGUCAAUGGGCGCGAGCCUGAACCAGCCAAGUAGCGUGAAGGAUGAAUGCCCUACGGGUUGUAAACUUCUUUUAUAAAGGAAUAAAGUGAGGCACGUGUGCCAUUUUGUCUGUACUUUUUGAAUAAAGAUCGGCUAACUCCGUGCCAGCAGCCGCGGUAAUACGGAGGAUCCGAGCGUUAUCCGGAUUUAUUGGGUUUAAAGGGAGCGUAGAUGGGUUGUUAAGUCAGUUGUGAAAGUUUGCGGCUCAACCGUAAAAUUGCAAUUGAUACUGGCAGGCUUGAGUGCAGUUGAGGUAGGCGGAAUUCGUGGUGUAGCGGUGAAAUGCGUAGAUAUCACGAAGAACUCCGAUUGCGAAGGCAGCUUACUAAACUGCCACUGACAUUGAUGCUCGAAAGUGUGGGGAGCAAACAGGAUUAGAUACCCUAGUAGUC